GACGAACGCUGGCGGCGUGCCUAAUACAUGCAAGUAGAACGCUGAAGGAGGAGCUUGCUCUUCUGGAUGAGUUGCGAACGGGUGAGUAACGCGUAGGUAACCCGCCUGGUAGCGGGGGAUAACUAUUGGAAACGAUAGCUAAUACCGCAUAACAGUAGAUGUUGCAUGACAUUUGCUUAAAAGGUGCAAUUGCACCACUACCAGAUGGACCUGCGUUGUAUUAGCUAGUUGGUGGGGUAACGGCUCACCAAGGCGACGAUACAUAGCCGACCUGAGAGGGUGAUCAGCCACACUGGGACUGAGACACGGCCCAGACUCCUACGGGAGGCAGCAGUAGGGAAUCGUCGGCAAUGGACGGAAGUCUGACCGAGCAACGCCGCGUGAGGGAAGAAGGUUGUCGGAUCGUAAAGCUCUGUUGUAAGAGAAGAACGAGUGUGAGAGUGGAAAGUUCACACUGUGACGGUAUCUUACCAGAAAGGGACGGCUAACUACGUG
rnacentral:rRNA from 1 species